AUUGCCUGUUGGAUGCCAAGGGUAGUCUCAUGGCCUUUGCUUGUGUUUUUCCCAUGCCAAGCAGUUAUGGUAUGGCUUCACGCAUCAUUUCUUUCACUCACUUGAGAAUUAGGUGCCCCAGACAUUCAAAUUAUAGUUUGGAGAAUCAUCUUUAACAAUGGACAGAGCCCAAGUCCCCUAGAAAAAGGCACCAAAAAAGGUGAAAGCCCUAUUGUGCUUAGACAUUAUCACACCACAGGCACUAUCUGCAAGUCUAGUUGUUUGGGAAUGCAGCCCCAAUUAAGUGGUAAAUUCACUCUAAGGCUGAAUAUAGGUAAAACACCAAUAACAAACAAGUAUCAUGAGGGAAAGAUGGAAAGGACUUUGAAAAAGGAGUCAAAGAGUGCUUGAAUUUAUUGGGACGAAAAAGAUGCGGCUGACAAUGCACCUUGAUUAGAUGUGGAAUAGCAAGAGGUAGUUUAUUGAUUAGCUCAGGGCAUGGACCAAUAUGGGUCAUGAUGGUGGCCCAAGCCCAAGCUUUGGAUAUACCCAUAAAGACAUCAUUACCGUAAUAGUGGAAUGUAGCAUGUACCAUCUCGACAUGCCUUGGCACUAGCGUGCUCUUGGCAUCGAUCUGGGGAUCUUCAUCCAGCCCAUCUUUAAAGACAAACCAAUGAGUCUGACAUGUGUGUGAGUCAGUGGGCUAGAAAACCUAUAAGAUGCAAAAAAGCUAAUUGGCGGGAUCCUUCGAGGGUGCACCACCAACCUUGAUCUUUUAAGAAGGGUUUGAGUGCGAACAAGCCUAUCAAGAUCGAAAAGAUGGUAAACUAUGCUUGAGUGGUGUAAAGCCAGAGAAAACUCUAGUGGAGAACUACAGUGACACUGACAUAAAAAUCAUUCAUCUGACUUAGGUAUAGGGGUGAAAGACUAAUCAAACUAUCUAGUAGCUAGUUCCCUCUAAAGUUUCUCUUAAGAUAGUUAGAGCCCUUAGCAAGUUCUAUUAGGUAAAGCAAAUGAUUAGAGGCAUCAGGGAUGCAACAUGCUCAAAUUAUUCUCAAACUUUAAAUAGGUAGGAUGGAACAAUUGCUUCAUUAAGCUGCACCACGGAAUCAAGAGCUCCAAGUGAGCCAUUUUUGUUAAAAAAAAAUGGUGAUGCAAGGUGAAUUAAAAGCUAGGUUACAAUGCCCAAUUGUGUGUUAACCUAGAACCCAUAAAGGGUGUUGGUUAAUUAAGAUAGCAGGAUAGUGGUCAUGGAAGUCAAAAUUCACUGAUGAGUGUGUAACAACUCAACUGCUGAAUCUACUAGCCCUAAAAAUGGAUAGCAUUUAAGUCAUGACCUAUACCCAACUAUCGAGGGAAAGGCUAGGCCCUGAUGAGUAAGAGGGCAUAGCAGUCAUUGUAAAACCCAAGGUGCAAGCCUUAAUAGUACAACGUUGAUGCAGAUCUUUGGUGGUGGUAGCAAAUAUUCAAAUGAGAAUGACAUUUGCACAUGGGUUAGUCAAUCCUAAAAGAGGGGAAAGCCUACUAAUAGCAUGUCUAGCACAAGCUUUGAAAAGGAAUCAGGUUCUGAACUAGGAUAUGGUGGCUAACAUCAACAUUGAAAAGUUUAGAGACUUUGGUGGGGGAUUUAAAAAGAGUUAUCUUUUCUAUUUAAUAGCCUACACACCUUGGAAAUAGCUUAGCUGGAGGUAGGGUCCAAUGGCCAGAAGAGUACUAGAUGUUGCAUGGAGUCCAUUGCACUACUGAGCUAUUCCCACAAUGAGAGUAGGUCAUCAUGUGUCGACCAAGGGAUAGACUGGGAAUGCCUCCCUUGAAGGCCUUUCCUAGGCAAUGAAUAGUUAACUUAAAAUUGGUAUAGACAAUGGGAAUUUGAUUGUUUAAUUAAAAUAAAACAUUGCGAUGGUCCCUGUAAAUGCUCACACAAUGAGAUUUUUUCCUAGUGCUCUAAAUGUUAAAGUGAAAAGAUUCAACCAAUUAAGGAUAAAUGGUGGGAGUAACUAUGACUCUCUUAAGGUAGCCAAUUGGCUCAUCAUCUAAUUAGUGAUGUGCAUGAAUGGAUUAAUGAGAUUCCCAUUGUCCUUGUCUACUAUCUAGCAAAACCACAGCCAAAGGAAUGGGCUUGGUAGAAUCAACAGGGAAAGAAGACCUUAUUAAACUUAACUCUAGUCUAACUUUGUGAAAUGACUUGAAAGGUGUAGGAUAACUGGGAGCCCUUAAGUGAAAUUGAAAUACCAUUACUUUUAAUGUUAUUUUGCUUAUUCCAUGAAUUAGAGGCAAGCCAUGAUGCCUUUUUUUAGACCCAAGGCUAGCCUCAGUCCAUUAAUCUGGGUGUAAGACAUUGUUAGGUGGCGAGUUUGGCUGGGGCAACACUUUUGUUAAAAGAUAACACAGGUGCCCUAAGAUGAGCUUAACAAGAAUAGAAAUUUUAUGUGGAACAAAAGGGUAAAAGCUUGUUUGAUUCUAAUUCUAGUAUGAAUACAAAUCAUGUGGCCUAUUAAUCUUUUAGACCUUCAAAAUUUUAAGCUAAAGGUGUUAUAAAAGUUACCAUAGGGAUAACUAGCUUAUGGUAGCUAAGCAUUCAUAGCAACAUUGCUUUUUUAUCCUUUGAUGUCGGCACCUCCUAUCAUUGUGAAGUGGAAUUCACCAAGUAUUGGAUUAUUCACCCACUAAUAGGGAAUGUGAGCUAGGUUUAGACCAUUGUGAGACAAGUUAGUUUAACCCUACUAAUGGUAGCAUUGUAAUAGUAAUUCAACCUAGUAUGAAAGGAACCAUUAAUUUACACAAUUGGUUAUUGCACUUGGUUGAAAAGCCAGUGGUGCAAAGCUACCAUACACUGGAUUAUGAGUAAAUACCCUAGGUUAGAAUCUGGGUUAAAAGCAAUGACACACUAUUUACUUGAUUGGUAACCUGCAGCAGGGGCCCAUCACUCCCAGGUGCACAUGUCAUAGGUGUAAUCCCUGAGGUGGACAAACUAAAUGGCCUCUUUGGAGCACAAUUCCCACCAAGUAGUGGGUAGAAUCCUUUGCAGAUGACUUAAAUAUGCAAUAAAGUAUUGUAAAUGGUAGAGUGGCCUUACUGCCAUGAUCCACUGAGAUUCAUCCCUUUGUUGCUUUGAUUUGU
rnacentral:rRNA from 1 species